UUUGUCGAAAUGUUAUCAAUGAAAAAUUAUCUAACUUUUAAAUAACAAAAUGAAAAAUGGAACCUGACAGUAAAACGUUUCAUAUUACGCUGAUAAUUUGUCUUAUUAUAUUUUUUUCCAUUUACUUCAGUCAAUCACAGAUCAAACUUAAAAGAAAUUUGAAAGUUUGUCGAAAAUUUAUCGAUGACCUCACAGAUCACUGGAUCGAGUUUACUUAUAUACUUAAUAGGGGAGCAAAAUUAGGACUGUGCGUCAUAAAAGUUUUUCAAGAAUUAAACAUAUUUUGAAAAAUAGUUUUCACUAUGGGACAAAAAAGUAACAAAUAAAAUAUUAUCAAAUUCAAGUCCCACAGCUUUCGUUACAUACAUUACUAGCUGGGUAUCAUUUUUUAAGCCUUGGUCCCUACUACGUCAUACUUCUUAUUAGGUCAUUCUAAUGAUUUUGAUCCAAAGCGACCCAUAAUUUUGGAAAAAGUUGUCUUAAUUCUCCGACCGUAUGAGCACAGAGCUGCUCUACUAUCAAUUUUUGCAAUCUGCUUUGUUCAAGUGGAUUGUCGGCCCGGUUUCGAUGAAGAAGUCAAAAAGAUUCAAAACUCGUUGACAGGAAUUAAAGGUGCUUUAGACCAAGCUCUUCCAAUUAUUAAAGGAAUCUCAGACAUUACAAAACUGUUUAAAAAGGAUGACUAAAGAGUAUUUAUACACGCAUUUCCACAAAUGUUCCUUCCCCAUUUAAUAAAUGUGACCGAUAUGUUUCAAUAAAUUAUAAAAUAUAAUGUUUAUAAAAUUAUUUUAUAUAUU